UGCUUGGUGCGUACACUCCGCCCUACAGCCGCCUGCACGCCGGCACCUGGAGCCUGCCCAAGACCAAGUGCCAGCAGUGCCGCAACAAGUUCCACUCCACCUGCUUGCGCAAGUGGUUCCAAACCAGCCGCUCGCACAAGUGCCCCAUGUGUCGCGCCGACUUCGGGUGACGCCGCGCGCCGGCGUGCUCGUUGCCACGGACAUUACGUGUGGAGCUCUUUGCACCCAUUAGUAAGUCUCAGGAUACAUCUAUACCUACCAACUGUCAAGCACGAACCUUAUAAAUAACUUGUAUAUUGUUUGUAAAUUAAAGAGCUUUGAACCCAAA
rnacentral:lncRNA from 1 species